rnacentral:lncRNA from 1 species
AUGACACUGACUUGCCUCUUGCCACAGAAAAAUCUGAUUUCUGUGUAAACUGUGGGGAAUCAGCUGUGCCAAGACCGUCCAGGUGGAGUUAAGCUGAGCAUGGUACAGCCUGUCAGAGAAUAUCUCCUUACAAAAGCCAGACAUGAAUCACUUUGAUGAAUGUGUUUUACCCACCUGGUCCUAUCAUUCCAUGGUGUGGUUAACCUAACACAGAGAGCAAAUAAUUCAGCUCCAUCCAGCAGAAAACUUGGCUCUCUCCCUCUUCCCCACCAGCUUUUGUCAGGAGCAGAGCCAAAGAAAUUUCCUGCAGUUUCAAGAGUUUAUGGCCUGAUCUAAGGAAAACACAAUGUAAUUCUUAUGGAACUUCUUAACAACAGCUGCCAGCCUUUCCUCUACUCU